CUACGGGCCGCUCCAGUGGGGAAUAUUGGACAAUGGGGGAAACCCUGAUCCAGCAAUGCCGCGUGUGUGAAGAAGGCCUGCGGGUUGUAAAGCACUUUCGGUUGGGAGGACUGCUUCUAGCACUAAUAUUGUUGGAAGUUGACGUUACCUUCAGAAGAAGCACCGGCUAACUCCGUGCCAGCAGCCGCGGUAAUACGGAGGGUGCAAGCGUUAAUCGGAAAUACUGGGCGUAAAGCGCGCGGAGGCGGCUAGAUCAGUCGGGUGUGAAAGCCCCGGGCUUAACCUGGGAACUGCAUCCGAUACUGUCUAGCUUGAGUACAGGAGAGGAGAGUGGAAUUCCACAUGUAGCGGUGAAAUGCGUAGAUAUGUGGAGGAACACCAAUGGCGAAGGCAGCUCUCUGGCCUGAUACUGACGCUGAGGUGCGAAAGCGUGGGGAGCAAACGGGAUUAGAUACCCCAGUAGUC
rnacentral:rRNA from 1 species